UACGUAGGGCGCAAGCGUUAUCCGGAUUUAUUGGGCGUAAAGAGCUCGUAGGCGGUCUGUCGCGUCGGCUGUGAAAACACGGGGCUCAACUCCGUGCCUGCAGUCGAUACGGGCAGACUAGAGUUCGGUAGGGGAGACUGGAAUUCCUGGUGUAGCGGUGAAAUGCGCAGAGAUCAGGAGGAACACCCGUAGCGAAGGCGGCACUCUGGGCCGAUACUGACACUGAGGAGCGAAAGCGUGGGGAGCGAACAGG
rnacentral:rRNA from 1 species